rnacentral:rRNA from 1 species
UACAGAGGUCCCAAGCGUUGUUCGGAUUCACUGGGCGUAAAGGGUGCGCAGGUGGUUUGGCAAGUUUGAUGUGAAAGCCCCGGGCUUAACCCGGGAAUGGCAUUGAAUACUGCUUGAACUGGAGGGUCGGAGGGGGGACUGGAAUUCUUGGUGUAGCAGUGAAAUGCGUAGAUAUCAAAGAGGAACACCAGUGGCGAAGGCGAGUCCCUGGACGAUACCUGACACUGAGGCACGAAAGCCAAGGGAGCAAACAGG